rnacentral:lncRNA from 1 species
GGCAAUUAUUCCCACUAAAGUCAGACAUCAUUUCCAAGGUUGGUUCCUCCAUCAAACUGCUGUGGCAUUAAGAGGACCAGUGGCAUGGGCCAGUGGCAGUGGGCAGCCAAGGGACUCCUGACUGCGGCAUGUGCAGCAAUCUCAGGAAGGGGGCUGAGCUCUGGGCCCCUUGUCCUGCAGGGCUCUGGGCAGAAGGAGGCUUCUGGAAGGUGGAGGGAUGGAGGAGAAGUGAGCCAGCUCAUGGGCGUGCCCUUGACCCAGUUCAUCACCAGCCCCUCCAUGUGCUGCCCAGAGUGGCCAUUUCCAAGCUCUGGCUCCCAGCGCCCAAGGUCCUUGAAGAAUCUGAAGAGGCUGGGGUGCACCCCCCAGGGACCCAAGAGACAUGGGCUGUUGAGGGGGAGGUGAUGGCAGCCUGAGGAGGAGGAAGAGCUCUGUGUUGGGGAUGAGAAACCUGUUCGUUUCUAAGACUGGCUCUGAGGGUUGGUUCUGGAUUCACUGAGGGAAGGAGGUGAGUAUGGUGGCCCCUGGGCUCCCUGGGGUCAUCUGCCUGCCAUCCCCAGGGAUGCCUUUGGCAUAGUUAGAGGUUCAGGUAGGAUUUUGUUUUGGGGUAAAAAUAGCUCUGCUGUAAAGACAGUAAUGUCCCCAGUGUCACUCUGCCCCACACCAGCCACACUUAUUGGCCCUGGGAUGGGAGCCGGACCCAAGCCAGGACAACCGGAGACUCCUCAGGAGGAUGGAACUGGCCCCAGGAGACCCCAGCUCAUUUUGCAGAAAUAUAAACUUGAAGGAGGUCCAGGGGCCACGCCAAUGCAGAGAGAGUCCAGUAGAGGGGUAAAGGGACCCUGGGUCCCCCAAAUCCCCAGGUCCCAGGCUGCCAUCCCAGAGCCCGCCAUCCCUGCCCUUGGACUCUUAGAAACUCUAGGAUGGUUUUCUUGCCCUAAGUUCCCCUUUUUGUGUGAAGCCAGCUAGAAAUGGUUAUUUGCAAAAGACCUAGAUCAUACACAGAUCUUCCCAGAAUUUCUCUUCCUCUAGAAAAUCUGGCCUGAGCUCUAAGACCCCAGGGUCUGCAGAAAAGUUGAUCUCACAGCACAUGCAUCCUACACGCAGUGAGCAUGAGAGCUGGGAUUGUAGUUCUACCUUGAAAUUGAAUGUCCUUCCCAACUCUCUUCACUUGACUCCACAUCUCAGAAAGGCCCUUGUGAAUCCCCCUAGAAGGCCAUGGCAGUCCAGCCUUUAAAUUCUGCCAGAACUACUGGUGACAUCUUUUGGGACCUCUGGCCUGCAGUUGUCACUCUUGACUGGGGACCUGAAAGGGUCUCUUUGUCCAUGAUGCAUAAGCUCAGACUCCCACCCCACCCUACCCCCCCCCCCCCCGGCCUCGGCUCUGCAAGGCUCUCUCCGCAGAAGCAGCCUUCUCCACCUCCAUAGGACCUCCCCCACCUCCAUGGGAUCUCCCCCUGCCCUCACCAGCUGGCAGGCUGGGGACCUGGGAUCCCCAACCCCCUUGCAUCUGGCCCCCUUCCUCUUGGCGCCUUCCCAGUGCUGAGCGCUGUCCUGGCACAAAGCCAGAGUUCCGUAAAUGCCAGCUGAACGGAAACCCCACUGAGGUUGCAGGUUCCUGAACUGGUCUCUCUUCUUAUUCUAACCCCCAGUCACAGGGUGGGAGCCAGUUGGUAUCCUGGCUCCCUUGAUAGUGGCCCAGGCUGCAUUUCUCUGGGGGCCCUAGUGCCCAGGAACCCUAUCUGGCCAGCACCUAUGUUCCCCAGCGGCCCCUCUCAGGCCCCUCCCAUGGCUGCCUUUAAAAACUGUGCACUUGGCAGCCAGAGGCUUGAAUUUAGUUAUGGGUUUAAGAUCCAAAGGGAGUAGGACCUAGAACCUUUUGGCUUUGAGAAGGGGGAAGAGGAUGGCUGUGAGGUCCCCAGCUUGGGGUCACUUAGGGGAGCAGGGGUGGCAGCUUCAGGGGGCUUGCAGGGUCCCCAGGCCUCUGGCAGGAGCUCCCUGUCCUGGGCUGAGCACUGGGGUGGAGCCUCUGAGCACCACAGGGAGGAGAGGCCUGUGGGUGACCCUGUGUGAACCUGGGGGAGGGGAACUGCCAGGGAAGGAUCGCACAUUUCAGGAAGUGCCCUGCACCGUGGCCAGUGACAAAGGCUGCAGAUCCGCCUGCAGAAUCCACACCCUACUUUUGCUCUCCCCCUUUCCAGACUCUGGGUGCUGCAAGCACCCUCUCACCCCCCACCCUCUACUCCCCACCCCACCCCCAACACCCCAACCCAAUGGAUUGCAUUCCUUGGGAGCAGGGGUAUGGGAGUCAGGGGACCCCACCCCCACCUCUGCACUCCAGGGGCUCCCCGAAGUCAGGAAUGUAUCCCCUACAAAGGACAGAUAGCCAGCAGAGGCUUCAGGAAGCUGUUUUCCUCAUAGCAAGAGGCCUAGGAAUGGGGAAGGGGACCCUCCCAGAGGAGAGGGGUGCCAGCCCAGAGCAGGGGACCUUCUCCCUUUGAGACACACGGGUGCCGUGUGGUUGGUGAUAAACAUCUCUCACAGGAGUGGUGCCCGCUGUGUUUGGCAUUCACCGUGUCCUAAUCUUUCUAGAACACUCCUCUGCCUCUCCCUCCACCCAUCGCCUUGGGAGAGCACUGGGGUCUCUCAUUCCUUCACUAGUAAGGAGCCUGGGGACCCAAGGGCUGGUGCAGCCCCCCAGUUUCCCCACCCAUCAGGCUGUGUUGACACUGUGGGGAGAGGCCUGCGUUGGUCGUUAUGCUGAGAAAUGAAACAUUACUUAACCCCAAGGAGAAACCACAAGAAGAGAAAAACAGCUCUAGCUGCAGCUGGGCCCAAGGGUUCAGCCUUGGUCUCAUUGCCUACACAGCAAGGAAAGAAGGACUGUUUUUCAAAUCCCCAAAACCCCCCCUCUGAUGGAGAAGAGUGUAGUUUGUUUGAAGACUGUGACUUGGGCUCAGCUCUCUGGCUGCGCUGACAGUUGCCCUGAGGCCGGAGCUGGGUGAGGGGCAAAGCAGCCCCCAGGUGUGGGAUGCUGCAGUUUCACCUCAGGGCUCUUGGGCACACUGGGGACCCAAGGCCGCUGCUCUUGAGAACAGAGCUGGGCCCCAGGAGACAGGAUAGACCCUCUGCAUGGAGCCCCACCAGGCAGGCAGUGGAGAGAGGAGGCCACAGGGGGUGCUCCAGAAGUCAGGAGGCCUCAGAAGGAUCCUCUGGUGGUUCAGCAGCGGCACCUAUUUUGUUUGUCAUUUGUGGUGGGGUCCCCCAUCUUUUAUCCUGCGGAUCUGUAGGUUUCCACUCUUGGGGUCAACAGGCCCAGCUCUGGCUGCCCUCCUUGCAGAAGGAGGCCUUCUGGGCUGUCUCCCUGCCCCCUACCACCCUCCACAACAGGCUUAGACCUACUCCAUUCUCUGCAGGUGCAACAUUUCAGGAGUCAGGGCCUCUGGUGGGGUGGGUGCCGCAGGCAUGAGAGAGCCCAGCCUCUGGCAGGACUAGGAGGUCCACACCAGCCUACCCCAGAGGAGCCAGGUACUAAGCUACCAAAGACCUGCCUCUUGCCCUUCUGACUUCUCAGGAGCUGCCCAGAGCAGUUGUCCCCAUUCCCUUGGCCUCUGCCUGUAGGUAUUUCUCCUUUCUCAGCCCUACCCAGACCCCUGAGACCAGUGGCCACCAGAGAUGCAGAAGCUGAACUUGCACAACUUCACAGGAACAUACAUGUAACUGUGCAUGCGUGCACACACACAUCAACAGGCACACACACGUCUGUACACCCAGGGGCUUUCCCUCCCCUGGGGCUGUGUGUGCCCCCCUCAGAGGAGCUUACCCUGGUGGGGCUGGCAUCCAUACUUCCAUAUAUAUGUCUCAUGUCCACAGUCAUUUAAGCUCACAGGCCCUUUACUCAGUUGAAGGAUGGACAACUGUGCUGUGUCCCCAGAGUGGUGGCCCAGAAGUUCGCACCUGAGUUGGACUAGAUUAACCCCUGCCCUCUGCCUCGGGCCAUUUUCCUCAUUGGGUACCUUAAGGCUGAAGCCUGGGGCAGGUGCAGGGGUGGGGGGCUGACCACCCAGAUCUCCAGCAACUUGGCCCUGGGUCUGGCUGCCCUGCGUGCUUGAAGGUGGCCCUAAUCUAAACUCAUGCCCCGAGCUACAGACCCAGGAAAACCCGGCCAGUUCAGAGAGAAUCUUAUCAAAUGCCUGCUUCAUGACAGAUUUGGGUCUGGAGGGGUGGAGUACGGUCCUGAAAAAGGUUUCUCUCAGCCAAAAAAGUCAGAUGUCAUUCUGUCAAAUGACAAAGUAGCAUAUUUUAUGUGUCCCCAAACUUUGUAGACGCUCCUUAAAGAUGGGCGGGGGCAUGCAGGACAGGUGCCAACAGUGAGAGUGAGUCCUGUCCUGGCCUCUUGCCUCUGGCAAAGAUAAACAAAGUUGGAACCCAGCCAAAGCCAUGGUUGGGGUUGGGAGGAAGGCAAUUUUUUUAAAGGCUGAAGCUCACUGGGGGAACGGACCAGGCCACAGGGUUUGUUAAGUUGGUGCCUCUCUGGGUCAGAAAAGAGCUUCUUCCUUCUUGUGUCUUUAGGACAAAGGGCAGCGGUGCAAGUUAGACCAAGACCCCUCCACCCCAACCUGGGAAUUGGCUCUUACCCUUCCAGGCCGGUGCUGCAGGACAGCUCCCUGAAUGUUUGCAUUUCAAAGAAACAACUCCCAGCUCCAGUGGUGGGAGACUAGAAGGGCAGAGAAAGGACUUACAAGUGUUCUGAAGUAACUACUCUCAGAGGGGUUUUAGGGACCUCUCUUCCUGUCACCAGAGUUUGACUGGGACAAACGGAUUUUCCAGGGGGCACUGAGCUUUCUCAGGCAGGAACUUGAGCCAUCAUCCUAGACCUGCAGCCUUGAGCUAUUAAGAGCUAUGCUGGGGCUUAGUCAAGUGCCUUAGUGUGUGUGGACGGUGGGGAGAGUGGAUGAAGCCGUUUGUGCUGAGUCUGCAGUUUUUACAGGUCAAGUUUGAAGCCUAGUCAGAGCAGCCUGGCUGAAGUUUGCUCAAGGAGAGAGUCUUUGAGAGAGUCUUUGUCACUUCCUGCUGCUCUUGUCCCUGUGGCCCCCUCCCCUCGAGAGCACUGCUUUUGCUUGCUGGCUACCCUCUGGGCCUCCCCACCCCUGCCAGACACCGGAUGCAUCUGUGAGCCUAUGGGAGCUCAGAGCUCACUACCCCAGGUGUGUACAUUGGAUGGGCCCCCAAGAGUGCACUGUGAGCCCUGAUGCUGAGUCUUGAGCUGAGGAAAAGUCAUCUCUACCCUUUACCUGGGGUUCUGCCCACUCCCUUGGCCCCCUGGGGGUACACACUCACCUUUCAUAGCACAUGAGAAGUCUUGCUCCCCAAAGCUGCCAUGCUGUGAGGAAGACCAAGCUAACCACACAGGCUACCAGGUGCUCAGCCCAACUGCCAACUGAACACAGUCAAGCUGACCCCAGUCAAGGUCAGGUGACUAUUGUCAAAGAUUCACCCACUGGCACCAUCAAAGCUGCAGCCAGCAGCAAGUUGGCUCCUCUCUGCCUCUCACCUGUCACCUUCUUCCAGGGUCUUUCUAACACAAAUCUGCUACAAAGGAGUCUGGGAGAUGUAGUUCUCAGCAUUCUUGAAAUUCCAAGGAAGCACAAAAAGCAGGGAUGGAGCCAAUAGCAAACAGACUCUUGUUUUUACCUUGACGUCCUCUCCUCCUGACAUAGCUGACCUGUGUACCUGUAUUCCCAUGCACAGGUUACCUCGCAUGGUAAGAACAGGGCAGGGGAACUCUUGAAAACACAAAGUGAGUCUGAGUUCCCCCUGGCAAUGCUGUAAAGCUCUCAGGAUGGAUAUUACUGGACUCCUUGUGAGGCAGGUCUUCUGUUGGGAUGUGAACUUGGUGGGAGCUGGAAGCUGGUUUAGCCCUCCUAGAAGACACUAAAACCAUUUAAGUCUCGGGAGUCAAUGUUUAGAAGUACAACCAUAUUUAAGAACUCAAAGGUUCUUAAUUCUUGGGAGAGCAGGCUGCUGAGAAAAUGAACUUGUGACCUAGCCAAGGCCCAGGCAUGGUUCAGGCUGACAGUUCAGCACAAGGACAGAAGAUGAAUCCAGACUGACUGUCCAAGGUGUCCCCCUACAUGGCGGCAAAGUUGGUACCAACACAGGCCUUGGGGUCAUGGAAAAGAGGCAGGCAAGAAGGUUCUAGACUGGGCCAGAUGCUUCACACUCUGUGGCUAACAGGGCUAUGGCCUGGACCCUGUUUGCCCUGCCCUCCCCUGGCUCCUUUAGCCUUGCCAUGUCCAUGAAGGGUGUAGGGCAUGCCUAUGUCUACUUGCUGAGCCUGGCCCAGUGCCUGGCAGGGAACUGCAAAUAAGCCACUGAACUCCAGGUUGUGAAGCUUGGUCAAGGGGCCCAGAUGUGGCCAGCUGGCCCAGAGCAAAGGAAUGAUGGGCUUCUCUGAUGUUCCACCCACCAGGAAGGCCCAGGGGGCCCAGGUUCCAAUUCCAGCUCCAGCCUUCCUAGUUUUCUGCUUGGGCUUCAGAAAUCUCAACUGCAAAAUGAAGCAAAUAAUAAUGCCAAGCUUGGUGUGGAGGACGAAACAGCCUGCAGGCUUGUGGACACGGCUGGAGAGGCUAGGGCUGCAUGUGAUUCUCACAGUCUGCAGAGAGUGGGUUAGGCAGGCCUCCAAGUGUGGAGCUGGGCCAGCUCUGAGGCCAGGGAAGGGGAAGAGCAGUGGUGCUCUGCCUUCCAGGAGCUGCAGCCCAUUUGGUUUGGCAGAGCUGGGCGGGCGCAGGUUAUAGUAAGAGACCUGGCUGCCAGGCCGAGAACUUUGGACUUGUAGCUAUACAGGGCAGCCUUCUGGAGGCCUUUGCAGAGGGCUGCAUGGUUGCUGGCAAUAGAAAGAAAAAAUUAAACCGCCGUGCUAGGGAGGGUGUGGCUGUUGGUAGAAGUCCAGGCAGGAUUCAGACGGCGGGCUGCCUGCCUGGGAUAGCCGGGCCUCAGGAACCCCAUGCAUCCUGCCCCCAGGGCUUCCUGCCUCCUGGGCCCUGGACACCCAGCUCACUCCAGUAGUUUCCAGAGAUGUCCCAAGGCUCCUGCUGCGGCCCUGCCCACAUUGGUGGAGAAGCUCAGAGCAUCAGCUCUGUCUAGGAACCUGUGUGCACACAGAGAGACCUCAGUGCUGUUCCCUUUGGAGAGAUCCUUUGGGGUUCAGAGCCAGUCUGGAGGAGCCUCUGCAGCCACCCUGGAGUUCGAUCUGCUCUGUGAGGCCACGCAGGCUCUGCCCUGCCUCCUCACGAUGAGCUGCAAUGGAUUCUCGGGGCUGGUUCCUCGGAGGCCAAGGCUGCACUGCAGAGGCUGCUGGGCUCCAACCCCCUCUGACCAGCCUCACAGGGCUCCAGAGCCUCUGCGGCUCCAUUGAGACAGACCCUGCUGAGGGCAGAAGCUGAGAGCCUUGCCUUUGUCAUCCUGCUUCCUUCUCACGAAAACUUGGGGUGGACAUGAGGCUUCUAAUCCCUCUUUCUAAAACAGGAAGUUUCCUUUUACAGAAGUGCCACCACCAUCCCAGCUGAGAAGGAGAGUCAGCCAAGGAAUAGGGAUUUGGAGGCAGACCAUCCCGCCCCAGACCCCACUCAGUUGACCAAACUGCCAUCCUGAGCUCCCAGGGCCCUCCCAGACCUGAUGGAGUCCUGGGUACAUUAAAGGAGACGUGAGGGGUGGAAGAAGGCUCUUCCCCCACAUCCUGACUGCUGGGCUGGGGGAUCCUGUCCAUCACCUUCCUCGGCUGCCAGUCCUGUCUCGCUUGUGCAGCUGUGGACAGCAGUUCUGCCCUUCAUGCAGAUGCAAGGACCCUGCAGCUUGCCCCAGAGGCCCCAAUUCUGUCCUCAGAGAUGCCCAGCUGGGGGAGCCCCUCCCCUGUAAAUCUGGGGUGUGUGAGGCAUCCCUCCCCACCCCCCGGGCCCUUCCUCCAUCCCUGGGCUGCUCUUUCCAGGGCUACUCAAGCCAUGUGGGCUUAUCCACCCUGCUGAUCUGGGAUGUUCUUUCUAGGAUGUGGUCACUAGGAGCCUUAAGUGUCCAGGACCCUGCAGAGAAAAUGCUUGGCAUAGCAUCCUGAAUCUUUUGGACAAGUGAACUUUCCACCAAUGCAUGAAGAAGUAAAAGCCUACAUUAA